CAGCCGCCGCGGUAAAACGUAGGGUGCAAGCGUUAAUCGGAAUUACUGGGCGUAAAGCGCGCGCAGGCGGUUUGUUAAGACAGAUGUGAAAUCCCCGGGCUCAACCUGGGAAUGGCAAUGGAUACUGGCGAGCUAGAGUGUGUCAGAGGAUGGUGGAAUUCCCGGUGUAGCGGUGAAAUGCGUAGAUAUUGGGAAGAACACCGGUGGCGAAGGCGGCGACCUGGUCCUUUACUGACGCUGAGGCGCGAAAGCGUGGGGAGCAAACAGGAUUAGAUACCCCCGUAGUCCCUGUCUCUUAUCA
rnacentral:rRNA from 1 species